rnacentral:lncRNA from 1 species
CAUCGAGGAAGUGAGGUCGCUUCUUUACGGUUCUGUCCCCUAGGCCCCUUCCUUCCAUAAGACCUACUCAGGACUCCACUGGGCUGCUGACUACUCACCCUCCCCUCAGGGCUUGCAGUUUCCAAACCAGACACAAUCUCCCAGUUGGAGAAAGAAAAAGGAUCCUAGAUGAUAGUGAGACAAAUUUCAGGAAACUCCAUCCAAAUAAGUAAAUGAGAAUGAGGACAGGAUUCAUUGCAUGGUGGCAUGUGCCUGCAGUCCCAGCUACUCAAGAGGCUGAGGUGGGAGGAUCGCUUGAACUCAGGAGUUGAAGGCUGCAGUGGGUGAGGAUCACAACACUGAAUUCCAGCUGAGGUGACAGAAUGAGACCCUGUCUCUCUAAAAAACAAGCAAGCAAACAAACCAAAAACCACAGACAAACCAGACCCCUCUUAGCAGAAUACUUCCAUGAGGUAAUAAAAGGUUUAAUUUAUUUCAGAAGUUUCUAGAUUUUAUUGUCUCUAUUUAGCCAAAGCCACAAGAAAAGUCAAAUUCAUAUCUUUAAAUGCUUUCAUUAUCAAUCAAGAAAGAAGAAAGUGAAACGAACAAACAAUUUUACUCAAGAAACUAGUGAGAAAUCAAAGAAAUGUCCAAGAAGUAGGAGACAAGAAUUAAUCAAAACAGAUUAACAGUGGAAUAAAUAAAUGAAUCCAACUGGUUCUUUGUAAUGGAAUGUAGAAAGACAUACUCUAUUCUUCUGGAUAGGAAGAUGAAAUAUCAUAAUCAUAUCAAUGCAAGUUUUAUGCAUGCUCAAACAUGUAUAAACUAAGAAAAAAUCUGAAAGGACAGACAGCAAAAUGUUUGCAGUUUUUUUCCUCCAAGUGGUAAGAUUAAAGAACACAGACAAAAAUAGAAACUCCUCACAUGACCCACCACGAAGCCCAUCAGAUGGCAGAAUGCAGAAUCAGGUUGCAAUGGACUGAUCUUAAAACAGAUGAAGCAGUGGAGAAAAUCUUCCUGGAGCUGAUGGUAUAAUUUGCUUCUUGAAACAAUGACAGUCCAUGAAAUAAGGUGGGGAAGAUGUUUUGAACCUCUCUCAGCAGCAGAUCCCUAAAUCACAGACCCAGAACUUGGAGGAAACAGGAAACAGGAGGCCAUCUCUGCACCUCUCCAGCACUGCUCUGGUUGGUGGGCAGAAUAUCAUACAAUCAUCACGAUUCUUAUAUCAAAAACCAAAUUCUAGACUGAUUAAAUAAUUAUUUUUUUAAAUGAGAAAAGUUAUCGUUUAUUUGAUCUUGGGCUAGGGAAGAUAUUUCCAAGCAAAAAGGGUAAAAAGAAGGAAAAAGAAAUGAUUAACAGAUUGGAAGGCAAUAACAAUAUAAUAUCAAGUGCUGGCAAGAGCUCAGAGAAGUGUGUGUUCUCAUGACUGCUGGAACAAAUUGGUAUAAUAUUUCUGAAGGGCAAUCUGGCUGAAUAUGUUAGAAGUCUUUAAAAUAUUUAUACUCUGACUCAGUAAUUCAACAUCUAGAAAUUUUUCCUAAGUAAGUAAUAAGAAAGAGUUGAAAAAAGUAUUUGAAUAUUGAAAGACUGGAAAGAACAUAAAGGUUCAAUAAUACAUAUAUGUUCAACAACAGGGGACUAGUAAAUAUGAAUUAUUUAUAUGAUAAAAUACUAUCUAACCUUAAAAUAAUGUUUUAAAUAAUAUUUAAUGAUGAGAAUAUGCUGAGAAAAGUUUAAUCAUUUUAAAAAAGUUACAUGCAAAAUUAAAGUUAAUAACAUGUACAAGAUUAUUCUAAUUUUUUUUUUUUUUGAGAUGCAGUC